rnacentral:rRNA from 1 species
CCCUUAGAUGUUCUGGGCCGCACGCGUGCUACGCUGAUGCAUUCAACGAGUCUAAAACCUGGUCUGAUAGGGCUGGGUAAUCUUUUGAAAGUGCAUCGUGAUUGGGAUAGAUGAUUGCAAUUCUUCAUCUUCAACGAGGAAUGCCUAGUAAACGCAAGUCAUCAGCUUGCAUUGAUUACGUCCCUGCCCUUUGUACACACCGCCCGUCGCUCCUACCGAUUGAAUGAUCCGAUGAAUACCAUGGAUUGAGAGUACGAAUAGGUUCGCUUAUUUCUGCUGCUCGAGAAGUGGAGUAAAUCUUAUCAUUUAGAGGAAGGAGAAGUCGUAACA